UUGGAGGGCAAGUCUGGUGCCAGCAGCCGCGGUAAUUCCAGCUCCAAUAGCGUAUAUUAAAGUUGUUGCAGUUAAAAAGCUCGUAGUUGAAUUUCGGGAUUGACACAUCGGUCGUGCCUUAAGGGGUAUGAACUGGUGUAGUCAAUUUCUCACCUUCUGGAGAACCACGAUGCCCUUAAUUGGGUGUCGCGGGGAACCAGGACCUUUACUUUGAAAGAAUUAGAGUGUUUAAAGCAGGCAUUUUGCUUGAAUACAUUAGCAUGGAAUAAUAAAAUAGGACGGCAUGAUUCUAUUUUGUUGGUUUCUAGGAUCACCGUAAUGAUUAAUAGGGAUAGUUGGGGGCAUUAGUAUUCAAUUGUCAGAGGUGAAAUUCUUGGAUUUAUUGAAGACAAACUACUGCGAAAGCAUUUGCCAAGGAUGUUUUCAUUAAUCAAGAACGAAAGUUAGGGGAUCGAAGACGAUCAGAUACCGUCGUAGUCUUAACCAUAAACUAUGCCGACUAGGGAUCGGAUGAUGUUAUUUUUAAUGACUCAUUCGGCGCCUUACGGGAAACCAAAGUGUUUGGGUUC
rnacentral:rRNA from 1 species